GUGAGGAAUAUUGGUCAAUGGGCGGAAGCCUGAACCAGCCAUGCCGCGUGAAGGAUGAAGGUUCUAUGGAUUGUAAACUUCUUUUAUUUGGGAAUAAACCCUCCGACGUGUUGGAGGCUGAAGGUACCAAAUGAAUAAGCACCGGCUAACUCCGUGCCAGCAGCCGCGGUAAUACGGAGGGUGCAAGCGUUAUCCGGAAUCAUUGGGUUUAAAGGGUCCGCAGGCGGAUUUAUAAGUCAGUGGUGAUAGCCUACAGCUCAACUGUAGAACUGGCAUUGAUACUGUAAGUCUUGAAUUCGGUCGAAGUGGGCGGAAUAUGACAUGUAGCGGUGAAAUGCAUAGAUAUGUCAUAGAACACCGAUAGCGAAGGCAGCUCACUAGGCCUGAAUUGACGCUCAUGGACGAAAGCGUGGGGAGCAAACAGGAUUAGAAACCCGGGUAGUCC
rnacentral:rRNA from 1 species